GGUUGACCUCGGAUCAGGUAGGGAUACCCGCUGAACUUAAGCAUAUCAAUAAGCGGAGGAAAAGAAACCAACCGGGAUUGCCUCAGUAACGGCGAGUGAAGCGGCAAGAGCUCAAAUUUGAAAGCUGGCUCCUUCGGAGUCCGCAUUGUAAUUUGCAGAGGAUGCUUUGGGUGCGGCCCCCGUCUAAGUGCCCUGGAACGGGCCGUCAGAGAGGGUGAGAAUCCCGUCUUGGGCGGGGUGUCCGUGCCCGUGUAAAGCUCCUUCGACGAGUCGAGUUGUUUGGGAAUGCAGCUCUAAAUGGGUGGUAAAUUUCAUCUAAAGCUAAAUACUGGCCGGAGACCGAUAGCGCACAAGUAGAGUGAUCGAAAGAUGAAAAGCACUUUGAAAAGAGAGUUAAACAGCACGUGAAAUUGUUGAAAGGGAAGCGCUUGCAACCAGACUCGCCCGCGGGGUUCAGCCGGCAUUCGUGCCGGUGUACUUCCCCGUGGGCGGGCCAGCGUCGGUUUGGGCGGCCGGUCAAAGGCCCCUGGAAUGUAGUGCCCUCCGGGGCACCUUAUAGCCAGGGGUGCAAUGCGGCCAGCCUAGACCGAGGAACGCGCUUCGGCUCGGACGCUGGCAUAAUGGUUGUAAACGACC
rnacentral:rRNA from 2 species